GACGAACGCUGGCGGCGUGCCUAAUACAUGCAGGUAGAACGCACAGUUUAUACCGUAGCUUGCUACACCAUAGACUGUGAGUUGCGAACGGGUGAGUAACGCGUAGGUAACCUGCCUGGUAGCGGGGGAUAACUAUUGGAAACGAUAGCUAAUACCGCAUAAUAUUAAUUAUUGCAUGAUAAUUAAUUGAAAGGUGCAAUUGCACCACUACCAGAUGGACCUGCGUUGUAUUAGCUAGUAGGUGAGGUAACGGCUCACCUAGGCGACGAUACAUAGCCGACCUGAGAGGGUGAUCGGCCACACUGGGACGGAGACACGGCCCAGACUGCUACGGGAGGCAGCAGUAGGGAAUCUUCGGCAAGGGACGAAAGUCUGACCGAGCAACGCCGCGUGAGUGAAGAAGGUUGUCGGAUCGUAAAGCUCGGUUGUAAGAGAAGAACGGGUGUGAGAGUGGAAAGUUCACACUGUGACGGUAUCUGACCAGAAAGGGACGGCUAACUACGUG
rnacentral:rRNA from 1 species